rnacentral:snRNA from 1 species
AUCACUUCUCGGCCUUUUGGCUAAGAUCAUGUGUAGUAUUUGUUCUUAUCAGAAUAUUAUUGGCCCAUUCAUUCAUUGCACAUAUGGACACUGACUGGGAUUGUU